CAGUAGUGAGGAAAGGUGUAUAGUUAAUAGCAUUACACUGUGACGUUAGCUACAGAAGAAGCACCGGCAAACUCCGUGCCAGCAGCCGCGGUAAUACGGAGGGUGCGAGCGUUAAUCGGAAUUACUGGGCGUAAAGCGCGCGUAGGCGGUUAUUUAAGUGAGGUGUGAAAUCCCUGGGCUCAACCUAGGAACUGCAUUUCAAACUGGAUAACUUGAGUAUGUCAGAGGGUAUUGGAAUUUCCCCGUGUAGCAGUGAAAUGCGUAGAUAUGGGAAGGAACAUCAGUGGCGAAGGCGAAUACCUGGGAUAAUACUGACGCUGAGGUGCGAAAGCGUGGGGAGCAAACGGGAUUAGAUACCCUGGUAG
rnacentral:rRNA from 1 species